ACACAAAGAAGAAACCUGAUCCUGAUAAUCAAGAUGGCAGUGAUACUGAGGAUGAUGAAGGGGAUGAUGACGAUGAUGGCCAAGAUGAUCAGGAUGAUGAUGAUGAUGAUGAUGAAGGUGCUGAUGAGGAUGAGCCUGGCAAAGACAGCGAGGAUGGUGGGGAUCCAGAGGAUGAGCCUGAAGCCAAUGGUGAUGGUGGCAGCAGUGACGACGACGAUGACGAAGAUGACGACGACGACGACAAUGAUGAGGAAGAAGACGAGGAGGAGGACGAGGAAGAUAUUCCCCAGCCACCAGCUAAGAGGAGGAAAUGAGGCUAAAAUCAUCUUUUUUCAUAUUUUGUUUUACCUUUUCUUGUUAGGGUGGGAGUUUGGGUUAAAUAGGGAGUGUAGACUGGGAGGAUUCAGGGUGUCUUAUCUGCAUCAUGGUAAAAAAGAUUGUGGUAUUUUUGUGGACACAUAUUGGUAUUUCUAAUGUUUAGAAUUCAGUAGGUAUUUAUUCACAGUUGCAUAUUUCCCUGUGUUAUACUGAGUUCACCUGUGUUCAAGAGUAGAAUCUUGGGAUCCUGCAAGCUACAAUUGUCGGUGGAUUCAUGGGGAAUGGUGCUGCCAUUGCCACUGUUUCUACCAAAGAUUGAACCCUGGCAGCGGUGCCGGUACAUUGCUAGCUUGGCAGCAUUGUCCGUAUAAUUUAUGGCAACGAUUUGUUCGUUGAAUCUUGUGGAGCUCUUCAAUUUUUCUGCACUGCAAUGUCUUCGUAAACAUUUUAAUAAAUCAGGCGUAGGUUAAACCGGACAGCUUUCCAGUCAUGGCUAUAUGAGCAAUGGAACCGGCAUUGCCGUAACAAGCACUUUGUGUUUCAACAUUUUGAAGGGAAGCUCUUUAUGAGUUUUACCCUUGCAGGAUAGCAAAACCGAAAGGGAUUUUUUAUUGCUAAAUCCAUCCCCACACAAACUAGUAUCUAGACUAGGUAAUGUAGAUUUUUUGAAUGCAUUUUGAUAGUUAAAACAAAUCAAAAAAUAUAUUUUCAACGUAAUCAUAAUUUUCAAAUUCGAUCUGGAGAUUCACCAAGCUGAGGGAUCGAGUCUUAGGUUACAUGAUUUUAUUAAGAUUAAUUUAAAAAAAUUAAAAAAAAAAUAUUUAAAAUUUUAAUAUUUUAUAUAAAAAAAUUAAGAAAUAAUUCAUGUAAAUAUAGAUUAUACAUGUUGUAAAAUAACAUGAUAUUAGAAGGUAAAGUUAAAAUUUGUGAUAUAUUAUACCAGUUCUCCCGUGUGGACACAUUUUUCAACGCGUGUAGCACUGGACACAAAAUCAUUAGCCGCGGUGUAAUCAAUAGGAAAAUCACUAUAAGCUGGAUAUAAAGUAAAGAUUGAAGUGUUGUCUUUACAAAAAUUGAAAAAAAUUGAAAUGUUUUUAAGCUUUGAAUUAUUAUUUUUGUAUUGUUUAAUAUAAUCAUAUUAAAAAUAAAUUUUUUAAAAUAAAAAAAUUAUUUUAAUAUAUUUAUAAAUAAAUAAUAUUUUAAAAAAUAAUUUUUAUCAUAUUCUUAUAUAUAUAAUCAGAAUCAAAAUAUAUGACUUUCUUGUUAUUUAAGGUUUUGUUUUUCAACUAUUGAGUAAAAGAAUUGCUAAAUAUUUUCUUUGAGAACAAAUAAAUCACUUUUAAAUUUGAGGUGAGUAAGUCAAAACUUUAGUUUGAGUAAAAGUCUUUUUUUUUCCUUUCGAAUACACUCUAAAAAUGGAAUUUUAGUAGCAAUUGUAAUUAUGAAAUGUCAUUAUUAAAUAAUUUAUUUGAAUUGUUUUUUUUUAUGUAAUUACUAUUAAAAGUUAAAUUUAUUGUAGUAAGUAAAGCUAAGAAUACUUGAGUAGUUACUAAAUAAUGUGACAAUUUCUGACAGGUGUCCAUAAAUUAAUAAGUGUAACGCUAUACUAAUCGCGAGAAGCUAUCUUAUCAUGAUUUAAAAACAUUUUUCAAUUUUAAAAACUUUUACUUUUUUGUUUUGUUUUACAUUUUAAAAGCAUUUAUAAAAUGAGGCAAUGCAUGAUAAGAGUAUAUAAAUUCGAUGAUAAUAAUAUCAAAGUAACUGUGAAAAUCUACCCCAACAUGAUUUUAAAAACAUUUCCUUAAUAAAAGUUGUCAAAUCAAUUAAUAAUAAAAUUCAGUAAAAACCUCUAAUUGUUGAAAGCUAUUGAAAGCUAUGUUUAAAGGUAUUGUUUCACGUAGCGAUUAAAUCAUUAUCGUGACGAGUUUACUUAACAUUUUACUAGAAUUUACUCUUAGAUUUAUAAUUCAAUUUUUUUUUAAAAAUAAAAUUAUACCAUUCUAAUACAUGAGAAAUUAUUGCAUGAUGAUCUUGGCUGCAUGGACUCACAGAAUGAUGAGUUUCAUAUGCGGGCGUGACUAGCCUAAUAAUAUUUUUAGCCUAAAAACCGAAAUUUAAAAAAUAAUAUUAUUUUCUCCUUUUCUCUUAAACUUCAAAAAAAAACAAAAAAAUCGACCAUGCAAAGUCUCUAGAAAAUAAACAGUCUUGAUUGCCCAAUCAAUUUACAGUAAAAAACAUGCACAGGUCAAAACCAACGAUUCUGACUGUCCUUCAUUUUCACUACAGCUAAAAGAACACUGGAAGUCCCUCUACUUUUUUGGUUUAGUCAAUUUAACCCUCAUACAAAUAAAUUUAUCAAAUUGACCCUUAUGCUUCCAAUUUUGGGAUACCAUACGCUCUCCAACGACCUCCGUCUGUGAUGAUAAGUGACUGUGGUUUUUUCUGGAAAAUUUCUAUGGUGGUUUGUGAUUGUAGCUGUGUAAAUACAAUUUGAUAUAAAAAUUUUAUGUAGAAUUCUUUUGGUAAUCUUUUCUUUUUCAUUCAUAUAUUGUUUUUUCUCUCUGUUGAAUUCAACUAUUUGCAUUGCUUUCUUCUUGUGUUUCCAAAAUAGUAAAUAUUAUAAAUAUUUUUUUAGUUUGACAAAACAAUUAAUAUUAAUUCAUACAAAUUGAAAGGAAUUAUUUUAUUAUUUGUUUGGUUAUUUUAUUUCAAUAACUAACUUUUAAAUAGUAUAGGAGAUAUUUAUUUGGUCGGCUAAUGUGUUUAGUCAAACUAACAAUAGAUUUGGAAGGACGGGCCAAUGUAACCUACAAUUGAAAUCACAAGGGUUGAUUUGAAACAAUUAUUUUCAUAGUGUGUAAUUUGACCGUCUUUAUAAAGUAAAGGAACUUCUGGUCAUUUUUAGUCGAACAAUCCGUCUUUAGCACACUUUCCAUGUAUAUUCUUCACAGUUAGUAUUAUAAAUCUUUCAAAACCUUAACUUAAACCCCAAUUCAUAACCCUAAUUCUCAUUUUUUAAAUCCCUCUCGCCUGGGUUUCCUUUUCUCUCUAUAUUUUUGUGUUUUUUUUUGCAGAAAAUGGAGGGUCUUCUUUGCUCAAACACUGUCGUUUUGGAGAGCUUCCUCUCUUCUUUAAUGGAAGCUGUAGUGCUUGAAACAGCCAUUGCUGCUUCGAAGGCGCUUGCUUUGUCACUUUUCAUGGUAUAAUGUCUCUGCUACUUUGCAUAAUUUGUUUAUUACAGCUUCAAUUUGUCAAAAGUUUGAAGCUUUUUUUGGUUUUGAAGCUUUUUUGGUUUUUCACAUGUUUAUGAUGUUUUUUUUUUUGCUUCUUUAUGUGUAAGUUUUGAGAAAAAGACUGUACAUUGAAUAUGUGGAUCUGUGUUGUACUGGGUUUUUUUCUUACUUUUUUAAUGAAGAAAGUUAGGAUUUUGUUAUUUUUAGCCUUUUUUUUCUUUAGUACAAUUGGAGUAGUUAUGAUGUAGGUUUAGAUUAUUGUGUUUAAAGGAGCUUCUUUUUGGAUGUGGGGUUUGUGUUAUGCUACCCUCUAAGGUGCUAUUUUUUACUAGGGUUUGGACUGACUUUUUGUUCUUUGUUUAUUUUGCUUUCAUGGUAAUUGUCUAAUCGGUCCCUCUUUUGUUCUUCAUCUGUGUUUUUGGCUUGUUUUAUUCUUUUUUUUUUUCUUUAAAGCUGCUUUGUUUUGUUGAUGUAAGUUUGAUAGUGAGCUAGUUUUUUUGUUUAUUGAAUGUGUCUCUGAUAUGAACUAGUAAUGUGAGGUAGGUAGGAGCUUAAGAGAGAAGUAAUUUUUAUUUUAACUCUUGAGGGUCGAGAAAACAGAGCAACUUUCAGAGUCGGUUAUGAUAAUUUAUGUUCUGAUAACGUUGGUGGGUGAAAGAUUUGCGAGUUCUGGUAGGAAAUUGAAUUAUAAAUAUUGUAACCUUUAUAACUGAAUGAUUUCCCUUUUCUUCUCUUGGUUCCAUUGUGUUGUUCUAUCUAGGCCUGGACAUUCCCUUUGCAUAAGUUUUGACAUGGACCUUUUUCUUUUUUCUUCUUAAAAACUAAACCACAACUUUGUUAAACUGGAUAGCAUAAUAUGUAUUGGAAUAGAAUGUAUACAAGUGUCAAAUUAAAUGAAUGAUAAACAGUAUUAGAGCUGGAAGCUCAUUUAAAGUAAAUGGAGACUGACACAUGUUUUGAGAAUGCUUUGCUCUUCCAUACUUGUCAGUUAUCAUUGAAAUGAAUUCAACCUGUUGCUCAAUCAUUGCAUUUGUUCCCGGUGCUUGUUGGAGGGCAAUUUGUUUCUUCCAACUGGUCUCUUAAUUGAUCUGAAGUUUGUCCUUGUUUUUACCAGAUAGGUUCUUUGCCUACUGGAUCCAGUGUCUUCCCAGAAGAGUCUGGCACAAGUCAAGGGUUAGUGAUCUCAUUUAUUUGUCCUUGAUGGUGUUUAUGUGCUCUGUUGUUUUAGAUGAAUUGAUAACUAGUCUUGUCCUGCAGGUUUCCUUUGACUGAGCUUCACACAAAGAAGAAACCUGAUCCUGACAAUCAAGAUGGCAGUGAUACCGAGGAUGAUGAAGAGGAUGGCGAUGAGGAUGGCCAAGAUGAUCAGGAUGAUGAUGAAGAAGGUGAUGAUGAGGAUGAGACUGGCAAAGAAGGCAAGGAUGGUGACGGUCCAGAGGGUGAGCCUGAGGCCAAUGGUGAUGGUGGCAGCGACGAUGAUGACGAGGAAGAUGGUGAUGAUGAGGAAGAUGAAGACGAUGAGGAUGAUGAAGAUGAUGAGGAAGAUGAAGAUGCCGAUGAUGAUGACGAGGAAGACGAGGAAGAUAUUCCCCAGCCACCAGCUAAGAGGAGGAAAUGACUAAAAUCAUCAUCCUUUCUGUUCU
rnacentral:lncRNA from 1 species